UAAAAGUUUUUUUAGCUUUUAUUUAUUAUUGAUCCUAAUUUUAUAUGUAAGUUUUAGCGAGAAAAAGAUUUAAUUUUUAAUAGAUUAAAUAAUUUAUUAUAGAUUCACAGUAAGACGUUUUGAUUAUUUAAGUAAUUAAGAAUCAUUUAAGGUAUUUAGUAUUAACAAAGUUUGUGCCAGCAGUUGCGGUUAUACAGAUAAUAUAAUAGUAAAUGUUAGGCUUUAAUUAAAAAUUGAUUGGUAGAGAAUGAUUUAUUAAUUUUAUUAAGUGAAAUUUUAAAAUUAAUAGAAAUUUUGAUUAAGUUUUUGAGGUUAGAAAACUUAAAUAUUAAACUAGGAUUAGAUACCCUAUUAUUUUAAGUGUAAUUUUUAAUAGCCAGGUAAGUAGUAGUUAGGUUCUUAAAAACUAAAAAUUUUGGCGGUAUUUUAGUCUAUUCAGAGGAAUCUGCCCUAUAAUUGAUGGUCCACGAGUUUUCUUACUUGUUUUAAGGUUUACAUAUCGUCGUAGUUUGAAUAUUUUUGAAAAAUUUAAAUGUUCAAUAUUUAUUUAAGUAAUAGAAUUCAGAUCAAGGUGUAGCUUAUAUUCAAGAAGAGGUGGAUUACAAUAAAUUUAUUUAUAAUGAAUCAAUAAGUGAGAUUUUAUUGUGAAGGUGGAUUUGAGGGUAAUUUUACUUAAAUUAGUAUUAUGAUUUUAGCUCUAAAAUAUGCACAUAUCGCCCGUCGCUUUCGUUAUAAAAUGAAAUAAGUCGUAACAGAGUAGGGGUACUGGAAAGUGUUCCUAGAAAGAA
rnacentral:ncRNA from 1 species